rnacentral:misc_RNA from 1 species
GUAGGUGAACCUGCGGAAGGAUCAUUAACACGUAUCCACGUUAAUCACCCGAGAACUUACUUAGGAGUAGCUGAGGAUCAAGUAAAAAGCUUCGGCUCCGGCCCCCUUUUUCCUUUCUUCUCGAUCGGAACGAGUGGGACAUUGACACUCAGCUUUCCUAUGCUGGUAUUCAUCUCUUCGGAGAUGAGCACCAACAACAAGAACCUUGCGCGGAGUCUCUCGGGACUCUUCAAAGGGUUCUUGACGAGUA